CUUCCGGGCGCCAUGUUCGGCCGCGGGUACGACAGAGUUGAUCAUGGCUAGACGAGGCCCGGCGGGCUAAACAUGCAGUCGACGAGAAGACCUCUUGCAGGGGCGAGAAGUGGCGCACGGGUGAGUAACGCGUGGUUAAUCUACCCUUGGGUUUGGGAAAAAGUCCCGAAAGGGGCGCUAAUACCGGAUAAGACCACGGUGUCCACGGGCACUGGGGUAAAAGUGGGCCUCUACAUGUAAGCUCAUGCCUGAGGAUGAGACCGCGUCCCAUUAGCUUGUUGGUGAGGUAACGGCUCACCAAGGCCGCGAUGGGUAGCUGAUCUGAGAGGAUGAUCAGCCACACUGGGACUGGAACACGGCCCAGACUCCUACGGGAGGCAGCAGUGAGUUUUUCUUGCGCAAUGGGGGAAACCCUGACGCAGCCACGCCGCGUGGGUGAAGAAGGCCUUCGGGUUGUAAAGCCCUGUCAGGUGGGAAGAACCGCAGUCUGGCCAAUACCUGGACUGCUUGACGGUACCACCAAAGGAAGCACCGGCUAACUCAGUGCCAGCAGCCGCGGUAAUACGGAGGGUGCAAGCGUUGUUCGGAAUUUACUGGGCGUAAAGCGCGUGUAGGCGGACCGGUAAGUUGGGAGUGAAAGCCCUGGGCUCAACCCAGGAAGUGCUUCCAAUACUGCCGGGCUUUGAGUUCCGGAGAGGGUGUUGGAUUUCCCGGUGUAGAGGUGAAAUUCGUAGAUAUCGGGAGGAAUUCCAGUGUGAAGUGACCACCUGAACGAGAACUG
rnacentral:rRNA from 1 species